rnacentral:rRNA from 1 species
AUUGAACGCUGGCGGCAUGCUUUACACAUGCAAGUCGAACGGUAACAGGUUAAGCUGACGAGUGGCGAACGGGUGAGUAAUGCAUCGGAACGUGCCCAGUCGUGGGGGAUAACGCAGCGAAAGCUGUGCUAAUACCGCAUACGAUCUAUGGAUGAAAGCGGGGGACCGUAAGGCCUCGCGCGAUUGGAGCGGCCGAUGUCAGAUUAGGUAGUUGGUGGGGUAAAGGCCCACCAAGCCAACGAUCUGUAGCUGGUCUGAGAGGACGACCAGCCACACUGGGACUGAGACACGGCCCAGACUCCUACGGGAGGCAGCAGUGGGGAAUUUUGGACAAUGGGCGCAAGCCUGAUCCAGCAAUGCCGCGUGCAGGAAGAAGGCCUUCGGGUUGUAAACUGCUUUUGUACGGAACGAAACGGUCUGGGUUAAUACCUCGGGCUAAUGACGGUACCGUAAGAAUAAGCACCGGCUAACUACGUGCCAGCAGCCGCGGUAACAC